CAGUCGCCACGGGAAUACGAGGGGUGCAAGCGUUACUCGGAAUUACUGGGCGUAAAGCGUGCGUAGGUGGUUGUUUAAGUCUGUUGUGAAAGCCCUGGGCUCAACCUGGGAAUUGCAGUGGAUACUGGGCGACUAGAGUGUGGUAGAGGGUAGUGGAAUUCCCGGUGUAGCAGUGAAAUGCGUAGAGAUCGGGAGGAACAUCCAUGGCGAAGGCAGCUACCUGGACCAACACUGACACUGAGGCACGAAAGCGUGGUGAGCAAACAGGAUUAGAUACCCCUGCAGUCCCUGUCUCUUAUAC
rnacentral:rRNA from 1 species